UUAACGAUUUAAAUUUACGCUCAGACAACAUAAUUAUUAAAGAAUUUUUAAGAAGGCUACUGACGGGCGCUGGCCAGAGGCGGUAAAGCCCCCAGCGGCCCCUAGAGGCGGGCCCGCCAAAGCAACGUGGUAGUUUUAGACACAGGGUUGGAGGUCGGGCCUGGAAGACCCUAACUCGGUAAUGAUCCUUCCGCAGGUUCACCUACGGAAA
rnacentral:misc_RNA from 1 species